AAACCCAACCAGACCACGGACCUCACGACUGAAGAAGGUGCUUUCUCCUGAUCUCACCGUGAGCCAAUACAUGGCCACCCAUACAAAAAGCAGAGAUGUUGGAACUGGCAGAGUUUUAAGGACCCUUCCAACCCAAACGGUCCCCAGGCUUUCAGCCCAAGAGGCAGAAACAUGACUUCAUGGACUGAUCACCUUCUGAAUGGGCCUGAAUUUCUCAUAUGUCAUGAAGAGAUAUCCUGAAGUCUGUCUGGCUGAAAUUUCUGUGGAUUUUCAAAGCUUUGUUUCCCGAAAAUCAUAGAAUCACAGAAUUAUAGAAUAUCCUGAGUUGGAAGAGACUCAUCAGUAUCAUCAAGUUCAACUCCUGGCUCUCUGAAGGACACCCCACGAGUCACACCACGUGCAUGAGUGCAUUGUUCAAACACUUCUUGAACUCUGCCAGGCUGGUGCUUUGAGCACUUCCCUGGGGAGCCUGGUCCAGUGCCCAAACACCCUCUGGGUGAAGAACCUUUUCCUAAUAUCCAACCUAAACCUCCCCUGACACAGCUUCAGGCCAUUUCCUCAGGUCCUGUCACUGUCACCACAGAGAAGAGAUCAGUGCCUGCCCCUCCUCUUCCCCUCACAAGGAAGCUGCAGACUGCAGUGAGGUCUCCACUCACUCUCCUCCAGGCUGAACAAGCCAAGUGUCCUCAACUGCUCCUCUUAAGGAAUUAAAUUUUUGAAAUCAAGUUUUUAAAUAAUUCAGAAUAUCUUUCUUACCUGUUUAUUCCCAUUGAAAUGAAUGGAACUCGUAUAGCACUUGAAGCACUACCUUGUCUGAGUAAGGCUGGCAGAUAUCAGAAAGUAAAUGAUUUCUGGACUACUAGCACAAAUGUUCAGAUUUAGUUCAAAAAGGCCUUUCUGCCAAGUUAUAAAUUCUCAUACAUUGUUGUCUAUGUUUGAAAAGCUGACAUACUCUUCAGACCUGUGUCUCAAAUGCAAUGCUAUAAUUUCUAUAGGUUUAAAGAGUAAACUUUAUUGAUUAAACAUAGUAAUUAAUCAUGCCUCUUUGGUAGAUGUAAAUGUAGUUGUCACUCAUGUCAGUGAGCAAGGGGACAUUCAUGGCUUUGGCUGCAGAACAAUAGAAACCUGAAAAUGACUGUGCUUAUUGUCUGUGAAACAAUGAAAAACUGUGGUAGGUACAUUUUACAGUCAUGUCAUAAAACCUAUCUGAGUAAGAACACAUGCUUUUUUGAUCAUUAGGAUUUUUCCAACUGGAUGAGCCAAACUGCACAAUACUAUAGAAUUUUCUUUGAUUUCUAUAAUGAAUCACUAAAGCAAUCCCACAAGGCUAUCCAAUGUAAUAAAAGAUUAACUAUUUCCUAGUACAGAGUCAUGCUUAUGGAGAUGUGCCAGUAAGUUCUCUAAUUCAGUCGAGCAGAAAUGUACCUCUGGGUUUACAGCAGAUAUUUACUCUAAUUCCAACUCCUCCUUUUGUGACACGAAGUCCUGUGUGGUUGCAGCUUCUAUUAGGUUUCCAUGCAUCACUGUGUCUCAUAAAACAUAGCAAAAACUAUAUUGAAACACCAAAAACUGAACUGAAACCUGCUGGUCCCAUUUAGAAUUUUUGCCACAGAUGUAAAAUAAGUACAUUUUGAAGCAACAUAAGAAAUCUUGUUUAUUGCAAGCAAAAAUAAAAAUAUUCUUCCUCAUGUAUAUUUUCACUGGGUCUUUACAAAUAAAAUUAAUUCUCAUGAGAUCACAGAAUCUUACAGAAUAACUUAUACUGUACUUUUUGCUUACAAUUUGUGAGGAAAAAAUUCUCUAUAUUUGAAGAGUGAAUUUUACUACUUCAUUGAUUUAUCCACUCUAGAGAGAGGCAGCUAAGCUUCCCAAAUCACUGUGUGGUUCAGUGACUAUUCUGAACACGUUGUUUUGAGUUUUCCAUCUCAAAAGUGACUUGUCUGAUGAGAACAAUGUUUCCUCUAAGAAGGAGAUAACAUGCUACCUGUGGCUUUGCAAAUCAGG